UACGAAGGGGGCUAGCGUUGCUCGGAAUCACUGGGCGUAAAGCGCACGUAGGCGGAUUGUUAAGUCAGGGGUGAAAUCCUGGAGCUCAACUCCAGAACUGUCCUUGAUACUGGCGAUCUUGAGUCCGGGAGAGGUGAGUGGAACUGCGAGUGUAGAGGUGAAAUUCGUAGAUAUUCGCAAGAACACCAGUGGCGAAGGCGGCUCACUGGCCCGGUACUGACGCUGAGGUGCGAAAGCGUGGGGAGCAAACAGG
rnacentral:rRNA from 1 species